rnacentral:lncRNA from 1 species
AUGCUCUACUUAUAUUCUAAAAGGACCAUAUUUGUGUUUCAUGUCAAAACUGGACAGGUUGAGUUGAGCUAAAACAUUUUUACUGAAUUCAUACCAACAUUGGCACAAGAUCAAAGCUGAAAUUAUACUGAACUUAACCAUUUUUAUUGGACUAUAAUGUAAGUGAGAAAACAUAAAAGUGAGGUGUGAAGACAGUAUGGGAUUUCAAAACUUGAUUGUGUCACCUCUACCAUCAGCUCCAACCUUAAUAAGAUCGCCACUUGUUUUGCUCCGUCCUGGACGUCGAACUUCCAACGGAGACGAUGCGACGGGAUGAAGACGGAGGGGGGCGGCAUGGAGGUUGGAUCGGCGCCGAGGGAGGACGGGCUGGACGACGCAGCCAUACCGUGCAGCCUAAGAGCUGAUGUUUUCUUAUCGUGGGCCUUAAAUGAUGCACCAACAGCGAGCGUGGCCCAUUAGAUGUCAAUUAGUGGCGAAUAGCUGUCUUUCGUUAUACCAAUUGAUUCAAAUUUCCAAAGUAAAAUAAAUUUCAGUUUCUAUUGAAAAUAUACUUUGAUAUACUUUUGAUUUUUCAUAGGGUAAUGGCCGUGUAUGCUUCACGAAGUGGUGCAGCCAACAUAAGGGUUAAACACAUCUGGAUUAACGCUAAUUGUCCACGUCAGCCAGGGGUACUGAAUGCGGCUACUAUGUGAUGAAAUUCAUGAAGGAGAUAACUUACGAAGGAGUUGAAAUAUUUGACAAUGAUAAUGUUGGGAAAGGAGAAGAGGAAUACUCAGCUGUGGAUAUGGAUGGCAUUCGCGAAGAUUGGUCGACUUAUGCAGUUACCUCUAUUUUUAAGUGACUAAUCGUAUUUUAGGUGUUGACCAUGUAUUGACAAACAAUUCUUUUUUUUAUGUUAAUGUUAAAAUAUUUGUAGUAUACUUAUGAUAAUAUAAUGGA